CAAUAGCGUAUAUUAAAGUUGUUGCGGUUAAAAAGCUCGUAGUUGGAUUUCUGCUGAGAACGACCGGUCCGCCCUCUGGGUGUGUAUCUGGCUCUUUCUUGGCAUCUUCUUGGUGAACGUUGCUGCACUUGACUGUGUGGAGCGCUACCCAGGACUUUUACUUUGAGGAAAUUAGAGUGUUUCAAGCAGGCAUACGCCUUGAAUACAUUAGCAUGGAAUAAUAAGAUAGGACUUUGGUGCUAUUUUGUUGGUUGAGCCUAAAGUAAUGAUUAAUAGGGAUAGUUGGGGGCACCUGUAUUGCGUUGUCAGAGGUGAAAUUCUUGGAUUUACGCAAGACAAACAGCUGCGAAAGCGUCUGCCAAGGAUGUUUUCAUUAA
rnacentral:rRNA from 1 species